AAUGAUCAACAACUUUGAUACCUCAAACAGACUCGAUGACUCAACUUAUAUAAGACAAACUCACGUGCCUCCUCACACCGUCCUACUACUCGACAGGCCAUGUGCAGCAUGACAGCUCACGCUAACCUCUUUGAUUCCUUAUUCCUCUUAUACUCGUUCUCCAACCGAAAGAUGACAUCUGUAGCUCUCUCAUUGUAGAGCUGUUUUGUCUCUCCUUUUGUAUUGGAAGAGGACAGGUGGACGUCUCGCCUCAUACGUAUCAAUACCCGCACCAUCGAAAUUGACCUUGUCCUCAAGGUCAAAGCCUGGAAACUUUUCUUUGAUCGCAGACUUCCACUCCCAAGAACAAUCAUGAACCGGCAUUCCCAACCACUUAAUGAGUAACUCUGCCUGUCCUGUUGUUGCGUUGACACGUUCUGCGAAUAUCUUCUCUGGUUCUACCAUCAGCACUCCAUCUCGAUUGAGUUGUACGGGCAGUGGAGCCACCACUGCUGUCUCCCCAAUCGCUAGCUUAAGUUGCGACACAUGAAACGUUGGGUGGAUCUUAGUAUCCGUUGGAAGCUUGAGCUUAUAUGCAACUUGGCCCACACGGCCUUCCACUUCUAACGGACCAUAGAACCUUGCUGAGAGCUUCUCGUUCAUCCUGCGAGCUAAUGAUUGUUGUCUGUAGGGACGGAGCUUAACGUAAACCCACUCUCCCACUGCAAAAGUUACUUCACGGCGAGAUUUCUCAGCCCUCAACUUCAUUAUCUGCUGAGCUCUAUGCAAGUGUUCUUUAAGCAGUAUCAAUGUUGCAUCUCUAUCUUUCAACUGACCUUCCAACUCCGCAUUUCCCGUUGAACCAGUCUCAUACUUCAGUAGUGUUGGAGGGUCUCGACCGUAGAGUGCGCGGAACAGGGUUAUCUUGAUAGCUGAGUGAAAAGAAGUGUUAUAACUCAACUCUGCCCAUGCUAGGAACUUCGCCCACGUUCUCGGUUUAUCUCCCGCGAAGCAACGUAGGUAGAUCUCCAUGCUUCUGUUCGUUACUUCGGUCUGACCAUCCGUCUGAGGGUGAUAUGCGGUACUCAAGCAAAGUUUAGUGCCUGACAAGGGGAACAGUUCCUUCCAGAACAAACUUGUAAACACCUUGUCUCGAUCCGAGACAAUAGUGCGUGGAAAGCCAUGUAGUUUCACCACUUCUUGAAUGAACAACAAUGCGAUAUCAGUAGCUGAGAAGGGGUGACUGAGGCUGAUGAAAUGACUGUAUUUGGUCAACCGAUCCACCACGACUAGCACUGAAUUCACCCCCAUGGAGCGUGGUAGACCUUCCACGAAAUCAAUGGAGAUAUCUUCCCAAACCUUAUCUGGGACUGGUAAAGGCUGGAGUAACCCUCCUGGAGCCAAAGUGGAAUAUUUCUGACGUUGACACACUGCGCAAGCAGCCACAAAAUGGCGUAUGUCCGUCAUCAUCCCUGUCCAAUAGAACAGUUCCCCCAAUCCGCUUAUGAGUUUUGAGAACCCCUCCGUGGCCCCCCAUCUUCCCACUGUGAUACUCCUCCAUAAUGAAUCCCACCAGUGUCGACCCUUUUGGUAUAACAAGCUUCCCAUUGCGAAGUAACCUCUCUUGAACCAUAGAAUACUCCUUCCAUUUAUCAGAUCCGUUGGCUAACUCCUCAAUGAUCAGAUGCAACUCAGGAUCGUGGUCUACUUCUUCUGCUAUCUUCUCCAGUUGCAGCACCGUGGAUACCGAGACAGCAUAUAAUUCAGUCACUGCCAUCUUUCUCGAGAGUGCGUCAGCCGCCUUAUUCUCCAGGCCCGGCUUAUACACAAUGUCGAAAUCAAACCCAAGCAGCUUUGUCAACCAACGCUGAUACUCCAAAUUCACUUCACGUUGUUCCAUCAAAAACCGCAGACUCUUUUGAUCCGUGCGCACUACGAACUUCCUCCCAAUGAGGUAGUGACGCCACUUCUGUAUGGCGAACACGAUGGCCAUGAGUUCACGCUCGUAGACGGAUUUUGCCCGUUGCCUAUCAGUCAGAGCUUGGCUAAAGUAAGCGAUGGGUUGCUGUCCUUGCAUCAGAACGGCUCCCAACCCUAUUCCUGAAGCAUCAGACUCGACAAUGAAUUGGGCGAUGAAGUCAGGCAUAGUCAAGACCGGUACUGACGACAUCGCCUGUUUCAGAGCCUCAAAGGCUGUGGUGGCUUCCGCUCCCCACUGGAACUGAUCCUUGCGAAGCAGCACUGUGAGUGGCCACGCAAUACUCCCGUAACUGCGCACAAACUUUCGGUAAUAUCCCGUCAAGCCUAAGAACCCUCGCAGAUUCUUGAUAUUCCUAGGAAUUGGCCAAUCUACCAUUGCUCUGAUCUUGUCAUCAUCAGCAGAUACUCCUUUCUCCGAGAUGACGUGACCCAAGUACUCCACUGUGGAGCUGCCGAACUUGCAUUUUUUGAAGUUUGCAUACAGCUUCUGCUCCUGCAGGACUUGCAACACCGUUUCUAAAUGUCCCUGAUGCUCUUCCGCAGUCUUGCUGUAGACUAGGAUGUCAUCAAAGAAGACUAGCACAAACUUCCGAAGGAACGGUCGAAAGAUUUUAUUCAUGAGGGACUGAAACGUAGCAGGCGCAUUCGAUAACCCAAACGGCAUUACUAGGAACUUGUAAUGGCCGUCGUGAGUGCGGAAUGCUGUCUUGGGCACGUCUGAUUGCUUCACCCGUAUCUGAUAAUAGCCUGAGCCAAGAUCAAGUUUCGAGAACACCUUAGCUCCAUGUAGUUCGUCGAGGAGUUGAUCGAUCAUCGGGAUCGGGUACUUAUCCGCCACUGUCACGCGGUUGAGUGCCCUGUAGUCGACACAAAACCGCCAGCUACCGUCAUUCUUUCGGACCAACAGCACCGGACUAGAGAACGGACUACUGCUCUCUUGAAUAAUGCCUGCAGCCAACAUAGAAGUGAUAUGCUUCUCGAUCUCUGCCUUCUGUGUCUGCGGGUACCGGAAUGGUCUGACGCUGACUGACUUAGCUCCAUCCUCCAAGUUGACCGCGUGCUCCUUCCCACGCGAAGGAGGUAAGCCCGUUGGUUCCUCGAACACCUGAGCAUAACGGUCAAGAACCNNNNNNNNNNNNNNNNNNNNNNNNNNNNNNNNACCGCUCUCCAUUGCCCAUCCAUAGCCACAGGAACUGACGCCUCAUCCUUUUGUAUUCCUCCAUACUCCACAAUCAUUCCUUCGCCCUCCUUUCCCAGUGCUUUCCAUAGCGACUUAAGCGACACUGCUGCAGAGUGGAGACUGAGAUCGCCUUGUAUUGUCACCCAAUCUCCCUCCAACAAGAUCUUUAUCCACUGAAACUUCCAGUUAACACUCAUCUCACCCAAGGUAUCUAGCCACUGGACUCCCAAAAUGACAUCUGCAAUGCCCAGUUCUAAUGGUAAGAAACUGGUACAGAUCGUACAUGAUGGAAGCACCAGAUCAACCUCUUCAAUCACUCCUCUGCCUUGAACUUUGACUCCUCCUGCGACUAAGACCCCAUACUUCGCCGUACUACAUGUCUCCAACUUCAAACGCUUAACUAACCCCUCAGAGAUGAAAUUGUGGGAAGCACCGCUAUCAAUCAGCACCACCACCUCUUCUGUGCCGAUCUUCCCCUUCAAUUUCAUUGUCUUCGGAGAUGUCAGCCCUACCACGGAGUUGAUUGAAACCUCUGCCACAACCGCUUUAACCUCCUCCUCCACCUCUAGCUCGCAAGGAUCCUCCACUAGCUCUGUCUCAGAACCAUCGUCACGAGUGACUAACACUGUCAGCUCCGGUUUGGAACAAAGGUGAUUACGAUGCCACUUCUCAUCGCACUUAAAGCAUAGUCCCUCCGCCUGCCAUUUCGCCACUUCCUCCGGUGUUAGACGCCGAAACGGUGGUUUCAAACGCCCAUGGGUCGUCGUCGCGCGGCCCCCGCUUCGAUUAUUAGGGUUUGUCGAAACUGGGCCAGGCUUCGAACGAUUUGGUGUUGUAGUUUGGACCCCCGAGUUGGGCUUUGGUGACGUGGUCGAAAGGCCCAAACUAUUCGAGCGUCCUCCCUUAGGCGGCGAUGACUCGCCCUCGCCGGACCAGUCCUCUACCUUCGUCGCCGUCUCCAUCAGUUUUUGCAAUCCGCGCGGUUCAAAUAACUUCACGCCGGCGCGGAUCUUCGUAUUCAACCCAACGAUGAAUGCCAGUUCCAAGACCUCCUCCGUUAACUCAGGUGCGUUCAUGGCGAGGUUUUUGAAAUCGCGACAGUAUUCCCGGACGGUGCCAGUUUGUCGCAAUGUCAGUAACCUUUCGCCGGCGGAGGUGUCCUUGUUGGACGAGUACUGCUCCAGUACCCGAUAUUUCAUCUGGUUCCAGCUACGAAAUGGGUUCCGAUCACGCUCCCAACGGUACCACAGCAAGGCCUCACCGUCGAAGCACGUCCUGACGUUGCGUAGCUUCUCCUCCUCCGAGUACUCGCGGAUCUCAAAGUACUGUUCGACCUUGAGAACCCAGCUGUCAGCGUUCUCCCCGUCGAACAGAGGCAGCUCCAACCUCCGUGUCAGAGACCGUCCUCUGUCGUCGUCGUAGUCAUCGUGAAACCGAGAUCCACGCCUCUGUGCAUGUCGGACCCCUGAUUCAUCGCCGCGACUGUCGAUCGGAGUUUGGUCCACCAGAAGGCUCUGCUCACCGUCCUCCAGGUGUUUGUGUUGACCGAUCUUGCCCUCAGAUCGAGUCUCGUCACUGACGUGGCUCUUACCGCGGGCUUUCUCCAUCAACCUCCGUUGUUCUUCCUCCUUGGCCUUCGCCUUCUGCUCCCAACGAGCAAAGAUGCUGUUAAGCUGUCCUUGCAUCGUUUGAAGCGUUUGUUCCAUCGAGUCUACCCUUCCCAUCGUUGGACCCAUCUCGGUUACAACAACCCUGCUCAUCUGUUGUUGCAACUGGUCCAUGUUAACCUCCGUAUCGUUCUUCUUUGGUGCCAUGAGUCCUGAUCGUCACUGCUCUGAUACCAAAUGAUAGACUUUUGCUAUCGCUUAGUGACAAGAACAAUGUAAAUAAGGACAAAUACUGAUAUUAUUGAUCACUCAAGGUACAGAUGAGUUUUUCUCGGGAGUUUCUCUCUCUCCCCUUAACAAUGAUCAACAACUUUGAUACCUCAAACAGACUCGAUGACUCAACUUAUAUAAGACAAACUCACGUGCCUCCUCACACCGUCCUACUACUCGACAGGCCAUGUGCAGCAUGACAGCUCACGCUAACCUCUUUUAUUCCUUAUUCCUCUUAUACUCGUUCUCCGACCGAAAGCUGACAUCUGUAGCUCUCUCAUUGUAGAGCCGUUUUGUCUCUCCUUUUGUAUUGGAAGAGGACAGGUGGACGUCUCGCCUCAUACGUAUCAGUUUCCUGAAGAGAAACACAAUAAAACAUUUUCAGAAGGCUAAGGGAGAGUGAAAGAGUUAGUUUCAGUAGAGUGUCAAGAAAC
rnacentral:lncRNA from 1 species